rnacentral:rRNA from 1 species
UACGUAGGUGGCAAGCGUUGUCCGGAUUUAUUGGGUUUAAAGGGUGCGUAGGCGGUCUUUUAAGUCAGUGCUGAAAUACUCCAGCUUAACUGGAGGGGUGGCAUUGAUACUGGAAGACUUGAGUGCAGUCGAGGUAGGCGGAAUUGACGGUGUAGCGGUGAAAUGCUUAGAUAUCGUCAAGAACACCGAUAGUGAAGACAGCUUACUAGGCUGCAACUGACGCUGAGGAGCGAAAGCGUGGGGAGCGAACAGG